rnacentral:RNase_P_RNA from 1 species
CCAGGGGGCCGGGCAGCCGCGUCCUUCGUCAAGCUCAGGAUGAGCGGGGGGAAGGCCGAGGAAAGUCCGGGCUCCACGAAACAAGGGUGGCGGGUAACGCCCGCCGGGCAGGGGAUUUCGGUCCUCGGCCAAGGGAAAGUGCCACAGAGAGCAGACCGCCGGCGGAAGCAAUUCCAAGGGUAAGGGUGAAAGGGUGCGGUAAGAGCGCACCGCGGGGCCGGCAACGGUCCCGGCAUGGCAAACCCCUCCCGGAGCAAGACCGAAUAGGGGCGGCGCGCCGCGGCUUCGGCCACGGCUGGUGUGUUUCGCAUCGAUCGCCCGGGUUGGUUGCUUGAGCGCCGUGGCAACACGGCGCCUAGAGGAAUGGCUGCCCUCGCGGAUACGGUCUCUCUUCAUGGAUACCGUCCACGAGACAUAACCCGGCUUACAGGCCCCCUGGCUUU